UCAGGGUUAGGGUGAAGGAGCCCAAGCCAAAGGCCACUGAGAACACUGAUCCCAAUGUGGAGAAGGCUGCCAAGGUUGGAGCCAAGAAGACUAAGGACAAGGAAGCCGAAGCUGAGAAGAAAAAGGCUACAGCCAAAAAGCAGAAGGAGAAACCUUCAGAGGAUGCAAAACUCAGGAAGGCCGCAAAAGCAUCCUCUUCCAAAGGUGCCCCCUGCUAAGAAGCCCAAGUCGAACAGGACAAUGGGGAAGAGGGGACAGCUGAGGAUCAACCCAAAGCACAGAAGACUACCAAGGGUGAAGGGGCAGCCAAGAAGGGUGCAAAGGCCAAAGCUUUCCAGAAGCCUGCAGAGGGUGAUGAAGGGGACACUGCUGCUCCUGAAGCUAAAAUCACAGUGA
rnacentral:lncRNA from 8 species